GACAGAGGCCUCAAGCGUUAGGCGGAAUCACUGGGCUUAAAGCGUGUGUAGGCGGAUCGUUAAGUGUCUUGUGAAAUCCCACGGCUCACCCGUGGAACGGCUGGGCAUACUGGCGAUCUUGAGCCACCUAGGGGCAGACGGAACAAGCGGUGGAGCGGUGAAAUGCGUAGAUAUCGCUUGGAACGCCGACGGUGAAAACAGUCUGCUGGGGGUGUGCUGACGCUGAGACACGAAAGCCAGGGGAGCGAACGGG
rnacentral:rRNA from 1 species